AGUUUGAUCCUGGCUCAGGAUGAACGCUAGCUACAGGCUUAACACAUGCAAGUCGAGGGGCAGCAUGAACUUAGCUUGCUAAGUUUGAUGGCGACCGGCGCACGGGUGAGUAACACGUAUCCAACCUGCCGAUGACUCGGGGAUAGCCUUUCGAAAGAAAGAUUAAUACCCGAUGGCAUAGUUCUUCCGCAUGGUAGAACUAUUAAAGAAUUUCGGUCAUCGAUGGGGAUGCGUUCCAUUAGGUUGUUGGCGGGGUAACGGCCCACCAAGCCUUCGAUGGAUAGGGGUUCUGAGAGGAAGGUCCCCCACAUUGGAACUGAGACACGGUCCAAACUCCUACGGGAGGCAGCAGUGAGGAAUAUUGGUCAAUGGACGAGAGUCUGAACCAGCCAAGUAGCGUGAAGGAUGACUGCCCUAUGGGUUGUAAACUUCUUUUAUACGGGAAUAAAGUGAGGCACGUGUGCCUUUUUGUAUGUACCGUAUGAAUAAGGAUCGGCUAACUCCGUGCCAGCAGCCGCGGUAAUACGGAGGAUCCGAGCGUUAUCCGGAUUUAUUGGGUUUAAAGGGAGCGUAGGCGGACGCUUAAGUCAGUUGUGAAAGUUUGCGGCUCAACCGUAAAAUUGCAGUUGAUACUGGGUGUCUUGAGUACAGUAGAGGCAGGCGGAAUUCGUGGUGUAGCGGUGAAAUGCUUAGAUAUCACGAAGAACUCCGAUUGCGAAGGCAGCUUGCUGGACUGUAACUGACGCUGAUGCUCGAAAGUGUGGGUAUCAAACAGGAUUAGAUACCCUGGUAGUCCACACAGUAAACGAUGAAUACUCGCUGUUUGCGAUAUACAGUAAGCGGCCAAGCGAAAGCGUUAAGUAUUCCACCUGGGGAGUACGCCGGCAACGGUGAAACUCAAAGGAAUUGACGGGGGCCCGCACAAGCGGAGGAACAUGUGGUUUAAUUCGAUGAUACGCGAGGAACCUUACCCGGGCUUGAAUUGCAACUGAAUGAUGUGGAGACAUGUCAGCCGCAAGGCAGUUGUGAAGGUGCUGCAUGGUUGUCGUCAGCUCGUGCCGUGAGGUGUCGGCUUAAGUGCCAUAACGAGCGCAACCCUUAUCGAUAGUUACCAUCAGGUUAUGCUGGGGACUCUGUCGAGACCGCCGUCGUAAGAUGUGAGGAAGGUGGA
rnacentral:rRNA from 1 species